GACGAACGCUGGCGGCGUGCUUAACACAUGCAAGUCGAACGGAAAGGCCCUGCUUUUGUGCGGUGCUCGAUUGGCGAACGCGUGAGUAACACGUGAGUAUCCUGCCCUUGUCUUUGGGAUAACUUCAGGAAACUGGGGCUAAUACCGGAUAGGAGCUCCUGCUGCAUGGUGGGGGUUGGAUAGUUUCGGCUGUUGGGGAUGGACUCGCGGCUUAUCAGCUUGUUGGUGGGGUAGUUGCUUACCAAGGCUUUGACGGGUAGCCGGCCUGAGAGGGUGACCGGCGACAUGGGGACUGAGAGAGGGACCAGACGCCAACGGGAGGCAGCAGUGGGGAAUAUUGCACAAUGGGCGGAAGCGUGAUGCAGCAGCGCCGCGUGCGGGAUGACGGCCUUCGGGUUGUAAACCGCUUUCGCCUGUGACGAAGCGUGAGUGACGGUAAUGGGUAAAGAAGCACCGGCUAACUACGUG
rnacentral:rRNA from 1 species